rnacentral:lncRNA from 1 species
UAUGUAAUUAAAAUUAAUUAUUAAUUUAGACAUAAAUUUUUAUUAAUUUUUUUAGCUAACAUAACGGGGGACUUUGUUGACACUUGUAUUACCUGAUCAAGCAAAUUACCCAUACCCAACCAAUGAAAAGGUAACCCGUAGCGUUCUCCAUUAAUUUGAAAAUUUUUGUUGAUUAUAUAUAUAAGCUUAUUGAGAUUUCCGCCAAACAAAGGCAAGAACAUGUCUCUUCUUUCUUCUUACAAUCCCAAACCACAUGUGGUUCUCUUUCCUUUUAUGUCCAAAGGCCACACUAUCCCCAUUCUCCAUCUAUCUCGUCUACUCCUCGACAACGGCUGCGAGGUUACUCUCUUCACUACCCCCGCAAAUCGUCCGUAUAUCGAUCAUUCUCUCUCCGGCGAUGAUAUUACCAUCAUCAACCUUCCAUUUCCCACAGACAUACCCGGAAUACCAACCGGAAUUGAGAGCACCGACAAACUCCCGUCCAUGUCUCUGUUCUUACCUUUUGCCAGAGCCACAAAACUCAUGCAACCCUACUUUGAAAAGACUCUGCAAACACUUCCUCAUGUCACCUGUAUUGUAUCGGAUCAGUUCCUCCAUUGGACGGUGGAAUCUGCCACGAAAUUAGGCAUUCCACGGCUGGGAUUCUUUGGUAUGAGCAACUACGCCAAUGCACUCAGCCGAGAUGCGGCUGUCAAUGGGCUACUCUCAUUGCACGAGUCCGCUGACGAACCCUUUAAUCUCACAAGCUUUCCACGGAUCAAGCUCACCAGGAAUGACUUUGACGACCCGUUUAAUAAACGGGAUCCUUCAGGUCCUCUAUUCGACUUCAUUAUUGAGACCGUUAUAGCCAUGUCCAAUAGUUAUGGCCUUCUAGUGAACAGUUUCUACGAGCUCGAGCCACUGUAUGUAGAUUAUUGCAACCGCGAGUCUAAACCCAAAGCAUUCUGUGUUGGACCCUUGUGCUUGACCCGAUUACCAAUUAUGGAGCCUGUAUUGCACCAGGAACGUAGAUGGAUUCAAUGGCUGGACCAAAAACUGGCACAGGGAAAUCCAGUUCUCUACGUUGCAUUCGGGUCCCAAGCAGAAAUAUCAUCAACGCAGUUAACCGAAAUUGCUUGUGGCCUUGAAGAAUCGAAUGUGAGCUUCUUGUGGGUGGUGAGAAAGAGUGGAAUAGAAUUAGGCUAUGAAUUUGAAGACAGGAUAAAGGAAAGAGGAAUGGUAGUAAAAGAAUGGGUUGAUCAGAAACAGAUUCUUGAACACGAAAUCGUUCAGGGAUUUCUGAGCCACUGCGGCUGGAACUCGGUGUUGGAGAGCUUAUGUGCAGAAGUUCCGAUACUGGCAUGGCCAAUGAUGGCAGAGCAACUGCUGAAUGCAAAAAUGGUAGUGGAAGAAAUUAAAAUCGGGUUAAGGGUGGAAGCAGUAUAUAGGUCAGGUAACAAAUUUGUGGAGGCGGAGAGCUUAAAGAAUAAGGUGAAAGAACUUAUGGAGGGAGAAAAGGGGGACGAGGUCAGGAAGAAGGUGAAGGAGGUAGCGGAGUCAGCAAGGAACUCCAUGAAGGAGGGUGGCUCGUCUUGGAAAACACUAAACGAACUUAUUAAAGAGAUUCAUUUGAAAAAUGGGCGGACUGAAUAAGUUCAAUUUCCAUAUAUAUAUAUAUAUAUAUAUAUAUAUAUAUACACGCACGCUUAAUUACUUUGAAGUAAUUUUUAUCUCAUUGCAAAGCUAAGCCAGUCGAGAAAAAUAGGGUAAAGAAGUUGUAUACGUAGCAUGUUUGGUUAUGCUUUCCAACUCAAAAUUAUCUACAAAUAAUAG